CAGAUGUAACUGAAUAAAUUUGCAAUUUUAAAGAUUUAAGGAAUUUACCAGGCACAUUAAAUGCCAUUGUCAGCAAAAUUUAGACGCGAAAUGUUAACAGCAAUGAAAACAGCAAAGAAAAAGAAGGAACAAAAUGGAUCUGAUGAAACAGAAGAGAUUGGUAAUGAUGAUAUUGUUAGAAGCGAAUCGAUUCUAUCAAAACCUGUUGAAUCGGCACAGCCCCUAGCUAUAGAAGAAACAUCUAACGAAAAGAACAUAGAGUCAACGAAAAAGUGAUUUGUUAUUUUGAAGUAAUUAGUAUGAGUAAAUGUUAUAGUUACAUUUGUUA